rnacentral:rRNA from 1 species
GAUGAACGCUGGCGGCAUGCCUAAUACAUGCAAGUCGUGCGGGGGUCUUCGGACCCUAGCGGCGAACGGGUGAGUAACACGUGGGCAACCUGCCCGUAAGACUGGGAUAACUCCGGGAAACCGGUGCUAAUACCAGAUAAUCUCUUUCUCCGCAUGGAGAAAGAGUAAAAGGCUUCGGCCACUUACGGAUGGGCCCGCGGCGCAUUAGCUGGUUGGUGAGGUAACGGCUCACCAAGGCGACGAUGCGUAGCCGACCUGAGAGGGUGAUCGGCCACACUGGGACUGAGACACGGCCCAGACUCCUACGGGAGGCAGCAGUAGGGAAUUUUCCGCAAUGGGCGAAAGCCUGACGGAGCAAUGCCGCGUGAGUGAUGACGGCCUUCGGGUUGUAAAACUCUGUUCUGAAGGAAGAAGUUCUGAUGGUACUUCAGGAGAAAGCCCCGGCUAACUAC